GGGUUUAAAGGGUGCGCAGGCGGAUUGGUAAGUCAGGGGUGAAAUCCCACAGCUCAACUGUGGAACUGCCUUUGAUACUGUCAGUCUAGAGUAUAGUUGAAGUUGGCGGAAUGUGUCAUGUAGCGGUGAAAUGCUUAGAUAUGACACAGAACACCGAUCGCGAAGGCAGCUAGCUAAGCUAUAACUGACGCUCAUGCACGAAAGCGUGGGGAUCAAACAGGAUUAGAUACCCUGGUAGUCCACGCUGUAAACGAUGAUUACUCGAUGUUGGCGAUACACAGUCAGCGUCUGAGCGAAAGCAAUAAGUAAUCCACCUGGGGAGUACGAUCGCAAGAUUGAAACUCAAAGGAAUUGACGGGGGCCCGCACAAGCGGAGGAGCAUGUGGUUUAAUUCGAUGAUACGCGAGGAACCUUACCUGGGCUCGAACGUAAGAUGACUGUAGGUGAAAGCUUACAUCUCUUCGGAGCAUUUUACGAGGUGCUGCAUGGUUGUCGUCAGCUCGUGCCGUGAGGUGUCGGGUUAAGUCCCAUAACGAGCGCAACCCCUACCUUUAGUUGCCAUCAGGUCAUGCUGGGGACUCUAAAGGAACUGCCUACGCAAGUAGUGAGGAAGGCGGGGAUGACGUCAAAUCAGCACGGCCCUUACGUCCAGGGCUACACACGUGCUACAAUGGCCGAUACAGAGGGCAGCUACCUGGUGACAGGAUGCAAAUCUCCAAAGUCGGUCUCAGUUCGGAUCGGAGUCUGCAACCCGACUCCGUGAAGUUGGAUUCGCUAGUAAUCGCGCAUCAGCCAUGGCGCGGUGAAUACGUUCCCGGGCCUUGUACACACCGCCCGUCAAGCCAUGGAAGCUGGGGGGACCUAAAGUCGAUAACCGCAAGGAGUCGCCUAGGGUAAAACCAGUGACUGGGGCUAAGUCGUAACAAGGUAGCCG
rnacentral:rRNA from 1 species